rnacentral:rRNA from 1 species
CAGUAGCCACGGUAAUACAGAGGGUGCAAGCGUUAAUCGGAAUUACUGGGCGUAAAGCGCGCGUAGGUGGUUUGUUAAGUUGGAUGUGAAAGCCCCGGGCUCAACCUGGGAACUGCAUCCAAAACUGGCAAGCUAGAGUACGGUAGAGGGUGGUGGAAUUUCCUGUGUAGCGGUGAAAUGCGUAGAUAUAGGAAGGAACACCAGUGGCGAAGGCGACCACCUGGACUGAUACUGACACUGAGGUGCGAAAGCGUGGGGAGCAAACAGGAUUAGAGACCCCUGUAGUCCCUGUCUCUUAUAA